rnacentral:rRNA from 1 species
AACGUAGGACACAAGCGUUAUCCGGAGUUACUGGGCGUAAAGGGCGUGUAGGCGGACCUAUAAGUCUAUUCUGAAAGCUCCUGGCUAAACAGGGAGAGGCGAAUGGAGACUGUAGAUCUAGAGUGAGGAAGAGGAAAGUGGAAUUCCGCGUGUAGUGGUGAAAUGCGUAGAGAUGCGGAGGAACACCAGUGGCGAAAGCGACUUUCUGGUCCUUAACUGACGCUGAGGCGCGAAAGCAUGGGGAGCGAACGGG